rfam:Pteropus alecto contig167631, whole genome shotgun sequence.
GUCUACUGCCAUGUCACCCUGAACAAGCCCGAUGUCUGAUCUCGGAAGCUAAGCAGGGUUGGGCCUGGUUAGUACUUGGAUGGGCGACCACCUAGGAAGACCAAGUGCUGCAGGCA